ensembl:lncRNA novel transcript
GUGGGCCUCGUGUGUCCCUGUCGUGGCUGAGAGUGACUGCCCCAGCACCUAUGAAGAAAGCCCAGAGACUCUGGAGGCUCAGCUGGGAUAACGCCUGGCGUGCUCGGGGGUCAUGGCCACCGCCUGGACUCUGGAAAAAUGGGAAAAAUGCUCUUGGCAGACAGCGGGGCAGUCAGGAGGGAGCUGGCCCCACCAGCCCAGGCAACGCCCAAGAGCUGUCCUCCCACUCGGCUCCAGGAGACGUUUAAAUGGGGCCUGACUCCCCCAUCUCUGAUUUAAAAGAUAACCAGAAGCAGCAGAGAAAACAUCUGAAGUGCUUCCUGGACACACCUGUUAGGAAGUUUCUGCAAGAACCCAGGUCCUCCUUCCCACCAGACAUGAGGAUUUUAACUUGAUCAUCUCUGCAAAGACCUUAUCUUCAAAUACAGUUACAUUCUGAAGUCCUGGGGGUUAGGGCUGCAACACCCGAAUUGGUGGAGACAAAAUCCAGCUCCUGACAAUACCGCGUAUGAUAGCUGCGUCUCUGCCUGCAGUACUGUUUUCCAGGGAAAGCAUCUUUGAGUGUAUUCAGAAAGCCUCUCUCUGGGGCCAGGCCUUGCAGAGAAUCCUUCAGAAACUGGACAACCCCACCCAAGGCAGUCAGUGGGGAGGACACAUUUGGUGCCUCAUUGGUCCCUGGAUCUGCCUCACAGUCCUCAAUGUUCCUCCUCGUUCCCUCUACUCUUUCUCCUCUUUGGUUGACCUUGAAGCUCAUUCCUGGUGAAGGCCCCGUGGGAGCAGUGCAAUGACAAGAGGAGCCUGUUUUCAAUAGCACCCUCACGCUCUCCAGGGGUCCAUUGGAGGCGCCUAUGACCUCCUGAUGCUGAGGAGCCUAGAGUGGGCAGCCCUCGGGCCCAGGCUCCACCUGGGUGAGGCCUGUUUUAUUAUCAAUACUCACCACAGUCAUUUGUGGGAGUGUAAUGCUCAUAUUCCCAUUUAAGAGAUGAAUAAACUGAGGCAAGGUGAAGUGACUCAGCUGAGGCCACACCACAGUUUAAUGGGGAAGCCAGGAUAAGAGCUGGCGGCUUCUAUGUCUGAUCUACACUCUGAUGGGAGGUCGUCAGAGAGCCAUGUAAACGGUGAGGAGGUGACAUGCUGGUCCCUUCCAUAAAAGCUGUUUUGCAAAAUUAAAACACACACACAGUAAAGAUCCAGAUUUAUGCAAGUGAGAGUGAGGGGCUGACUAUUUACCAGUCAACAGAUCUCCCCAAAUGGUUCUCUGCUUGGGGUUGAGAUGCUCCUGACCAGCAGGGCUUGGGGAGAGACAUUCUUGCUCCCCCUAGAGCUGGCUGACCCAUACCCAGGGGAUUCUGAGCACCAGGGGCUGGGAGCAGCAUGUACCACGUGUUUCCCAAGAGUUAGUCAUGUUUGCUCCUAAAACUUAUUGUAAUCGAGGAAUCUAAUUA